UGUGGUUAAUUCGAUGAUACGCGAGGAACCUUACCUGGGCUUAAAUGUAGAGUGCAUUCCGCCGAAAGGUGGAUUUCCUUCGGGACUCUUUGCAAGGUGCUGCAUGGUUGUCGUCAGCUCGUGCCGUGAGGUGUCCGGGUUAAGUCCCAUAACGAGCGCAACCCUUAUCGUUAGUUGCCAGCGGGUAAUGCCGGGAACUCUAACGAAACUGCCGGUGUAAACCGUGAGGAAGGUGGGAUGACGUCAAAUCAGCACGGCCCUUAUGUCCAGGGCUACACACGUGUUACAAUGGCCGGUACAGAGGGCAGCUACCUGGAGACAGGAUGCGAAUCUCGAAAGCCGGUCUCAGUUCGGAUCGGAGUCUGCAACUCGACUCCGUGAAGCUGGAUUCGCUAGUAAUCGCGCAUCAGCCAUGGCGCGGUGAAUACGUUCCCGGGCCUU
rnacentral:rRNA from 1 species